GUAGUCUCGCACAGAUGCAUAUCAAUAAGCGGAGGAAAAGAAACUAACUAGGAUUCCCUCAGUAACGGCGAGUGAAGCGGGAAGAGCUCGAAAUUUGAAAUCUUCAAGGUUCUACCUUGACGAAUUGUAGUUUAAAGAAGUGUUUUCUGUUGGAGGUUUUGGUAAAAGUUCUUUGGAAUAGGACAUCAUAGAGGGUGAGAAUCCCGUAUUUGACCAUUUACUUUCCAGCUUUGUGAUACACUUUCAAAGAGUCGGAUUGUUUGGGAAUGCAGUCCGAAAUGGGUGGUAAAUUUCAUCUAAAGCUAAAUAUUGGCGAGAGACCGAUAGCGAACAAGUACCGUGAGGGAAAGAUGAAAAGAACUUUGAAAAGAGAGUUAAACAGUACGUGAAAUUGUCAAAAGGGAAGCGUUUGACACCAGUGUUGUUUUUCUGAAAAUCAAUUAAAGAACUGUUUAUGCUAAGCUGUUUAGACUUUAUCAGCUAUCUGUUUAGUUUUGAGCUUUUCUUUAAUGCACUUUUCAGUUAACAAGUCAACAUCAAUUUCUUUUGCUGUAAAAAAGCUUGAGGAAGGUGGCUUGAGAUUCGUCUUAAGUGUUUAUAGCCUCUUGCCUAUGCAGUCGGAGAGAUUGAGGUCUGCAGCGUAGAUCCUUCGGGGCUAAAUGCAUUUGUGCUAAGUUAUAGCAUUUUAUAGACAACUUGUUGACUAUGAUUAGUCAUUGUAGCUUACUCGCUUAUGUUAUUUUACCUACGCUUAGGAUGUUGAAGUCAUCGUAUCGCGC
rnacentral:rRNA from 1 species